ACGUAGGGGGCUAGCGUUAUCCGGAAUUACUGGGCGUAAAGGGUGCGUAGGUGGUUUCUUAAGUCAGAGGUGAAAGGCUACGGCUCAACUGUAGUAAGCCUUUGAAACUGGGAAACUUGAGUGCAGGAGAGGAGAGUGGAAUUCCUAGUGUAGCGGUGAAAUGCGUAGAUAUUAGGAGGAACACCAGUUGCGAAGGCGGCUCUCUGGACUGUAACUGACACUGAGGCACGAAAGCGUGGGGAGCAAACAG
rnacentral:rRNA from 1 species